AUUGAACGCUGGCGGCAGGCCUAACACAUGCAAGUCGAACGAGUGGCGGACGGGUGAGUAAUGUCUGGGAAACUGCCUGAUGGAGGGGGAUAACUACUGGAAACGGUAGCUAAUAACGCAUAACAUCAGAUGUGCCCAGGUGGGAUGAGCUAUGGGGUGGGGUAACGGCGCACCAAGGCGACGAGCCCUAGCCGGUCUGAGAGGAUGACCAGCCACACUGGAACUGAGACACGGUCCAGACUCCUACGGGAGGCAGCAGUGGGGAAUAUUGCACAAUGGGCGAAAGCCUGAUCCAGCCAUGCCGCGUGUGUGAAGAAGGUCUUCGGAUUGUAAAGCACUUUAAGUUGGGAGGCGUUACCAACAGAAUAAGCACCGGCUAACUUCGUGCCAGCAGCCGCGGUAAUUC
rnacentral:rRNA from 1 species